rnacentral:ncRNA from 2 species
UAUUCGCUGCGGAUUAAUGGUUCUUGUAGUGAUACGAGAUUAAAAGGGAAUUUGGUGAGAAUCCAAAACUGUUCCCGCAACUGUAAUACAUUUCAAGAAUUACUGUCAAAAAUGCCACUGUAUACUGCAUAUGGGAAGGCGAUAGUAAUACGUAAGUCAGGAGACCUGCCAUAUAAUUUUUAAUAUA